rnacentral:tRNA from 1 species
UAACCUAGUGGUUAAGGUUAUGGAUCACCAAUCCGGAGACGGCGGGUUCGAUUCCCGU